CCUACGGGAGGCAGCAGUGAGGAAUAUUGGUCAAUGGGCGGGAGCCUGAACCAGCCAAGUCGCGUGAGGGAAGACGGUCCUAUGGAUUGUAAACCUCUUUAGGCGGGGAGCAAUGCCGGUCACGCGUGCCCGGGGGGAGAGUACCCGCAGAAUAAGCAUCGGCUAACUCCGUGCCAGCAGCCGCGGUAAUACGGAGGAUGCGAGCGUUAUCCGGAUUUAUUGGGUUUAAGGGGUGCGUAGGCGGAUUUUUAAGUCAGCGGUAAAAUGUCCGGGCUCAACCCGGGCCGGCCGUUGAAACUGGGGAUCUUGAGUGGGCGAGAGGUAUGCGGAAUGCGUGGUGUAGCGGUGAAAUGCGUAGAUAUCACGAAGAACUCCGAUUGCGAAGGCAGCAUACCGGCGCCCGACUGACGCUGAGGCACGAAAGCGUGGGGAGCGAACAGGAUUAGAUACCCUUGUAGUC
rnacentral:rRNA from 1 species